ACCCAGGUCGGGAACUCGCUCAGGAUCACGCGGCCAGGAAACGCGAAGCUGGGAUCGCAGCAUAGCUAGAAUGACCUGGGAAUCUCGAUUGUGGCAGGACUGGAGGUGCUGGUAGAUAAUGGACAUGGAUGGGAGACAGGAGAACAUCUUCGUUUUGGAGCAGCAAAGCUGUCAGAGCUUUCGAGUCUCAGCUGUAUCCCCUCUGCCCCAGAGGGCACUGCCUUGGUGGACUCUGUCCCUCCAUCUUCUGCCCUUGGGGACUCAACACCUUAAGAGAGUGUGGCCUGUGCUUUGUCCGCUCCCCUCAGACUCCCA